AACCGCCACCGUCUCAGCCUGAAGGCGCCCGAUCUCGUCUGAUCUCGGAAGCUAAGCAGGGUCGGGCCUGGUUAGUAUCUUGGAUGGGGGAGACCACCUGGGAAUCCCGGGUGCUCGAGGCUU
rnacentral:rRNA from 1 species